rnacentral:rRNA from 1 species
CUAUACAUGCAAGUCGAGCGGACAGAUGGGAGCUUGCUCCCUGAUGUUAGCGGCGGACGGGUGAGUAACACGUGGGUAACCUGCCUGUAAGACUGGGAUAACUCCGGGAAACCGGGGCUAAUACCGGAUGCUUGUUUGAACCGCAUGGGUUCAAACAUAAAAGGUGGCUUCGGCUACCACUUACAGAUGGACCCGCGGCGCAUUAGCUAGUUGGUGAGGUAAUGGCUCACCAAGGCAACGAUGCGUAGCCGACCUGAGAGGGUGAUCGGCCACACUGGGACUGAGACACGGCCCAGACUCCUACGGGAGGCAGCAGUAGGGAAUCUUCCGCAAUGGACGAAAGUCUGACGGAGCAACGCCGCGUGAGUGAUGAAGGUUUUCGGAUCGUAAAGCUCUGUUGUUAGGGAAGAACAAGUACCGUUCGAAUAGGGCGGUACCUUGACGGUACCUAACCAGAAAGCCACGGCUAACUACGUGCCAGCAGCCGCGGUAAUACGUAGGUGGCAAGCGUUGUCCGGAAUUAUUGGGCGUAAAGGGCUCGCAGGCGGUUUCUUAAGUCUGAUGUGAAAGCCCCCGGCUCAACCGGGGAGGGUCAUUGGAAACUGGGGAACUUGAGUGCAGAAGAGGAGAGUGGAAUUCCACGUGUAGCGGUGAAAUGCGUAGAGAUGUGGAGGAACACCAGUGGCGAAGGCGACUCUCUGGUCUGUAACUGACGCUGAGGAGCGAAAGCGUGGGGAGCGAACAGGAUUAGAUACCCUGGUAAGUCCACGCCGUAAACGAUGAGUGCUAAGGUGUUAGGGGGGUUCCCGCCCCCUUAGUUGCUGCGGGUUAACGCAUUUAAGGACCUCCGCCUUGGGGAGUAUCGGGUCGCAAGGACUGGAACCCCCGAAAGGAAUUUGGCUGGGGGGCCUCGCCACAACCCGGGCGGAACCAAGGGGGGGUGAAAGUCCGAGACGCAAAG